UAGUCGUUGGGGAGCGGUAAAAUGCUAUAAUCCUUCGAAGACCACCUGUGGCGAAGGCGUCUGACUAGAACGGAUCCGACAGUGAGGGACGAAAGCCAGGGGAGCAAAACGGAUUAGAUACCCGAGUAGUCCUGGCUGUAAACGCUGCGAGCUAGGUGUUGCGCAUUCUUAGUGAUUGCGCAGUGUCGAAGUGAAGAUGUUAAGCUCGCCGCCUGGGAAGUAUGGUCGCAAGACUGAAACUUAAAGGAAU
rnacentral:rRNA from 1 species